UGGUCUGCUCGGCCGGCGUUCCCGUCGGCCGGGCUCCGGUUCCGGAAUCGUCCGGUGCGGCGGUCGCGGGCCGGGCGGGCCUGUCGCCCGCCGGCCGU
rnacentral:tRNA from 1 species